rnacentral:lncRNA from 1 species
CAGGCUGAAAAAUUCUAUUGUGUGUGUGUACCACAUUUUCUUUAUCCAUUCAUCUCUUGAUGGACAUUUGGGUCGUUUCCAUAACUUGACUCUUCUUAACCUUGUUGCAGUGAACACGGGAGUGCAGAUAUCUUUUGAAGAUCCUGUUUUCAAUUCUUUUGGGUAUAUACUCGGUAGUAGGGUUGCAAAUUAAAAAUGGAGCUCUCACAGACCAUUAUUUUCUUGAUCCUUUGGUGCAUUUACUUUGGGUUGCCUAGGAACUCCUCCGUCUGUGGAUUUACCUUGUAGAGUCAGAGGGGAUGAUUGGGGAACCUGCAUGGCGAUGUGGGUUUUGAGCCUCUUUGGAAUUCAAACAAUACUGAUUUACCAGAACAAGAAAAUUUGGCUUUGGCCCCAAUACAGGCUGAGAAAGUUCAUCUUUUUAAAAGGGGCCAGUUCUUGAUUAGUUAGGGUACUGGAAUGGUCCAGGGAGGGAUAACUCAGGCCAUUUGCUUUGCCUCCUUCCCUUUCUUUCUGUCUGAUCUUUGGCCAGUUCAUGGCUUUCUAAUCCUGCCACUGGGGGAUGAAGGAAGAUUAAACUUGUGCCGUUGCCUUUGCAUGUUAUGAGCUCUCCAGAAAAAGUUUGCAUGGGAAUGGCCGAAGAUGUGGUAAGUUAAAGCAAAAUCAAUACACAGUUUACUAUCCAUGUCUUUCUGCUACCCUGCAAAUUUUCUUCCUCUCCAUGUAAUCUCUUUAUUGCAGCCUAGGAACUUUGUCAAGGGCUCCAUGACCAGGGUCUUUAGGAAACUCCAAAGACCUGAGAUUUCACCAGCAGAAAUGACAGCUGUUCCAAAAACAGAAAGGAGACUGCACACGCCUGUUCAGGACACCAAGCUGUGUGAAAGCACUCCAGGCUGGUGGGAAUACCGCUCCCAGAAAGAAUCUGACUUGUUUCAGAAGCUUAUCUUCUGGCACUUGCUCUUCCAAAGAAAAAGGCUGCAGCAGGAGGAUAAAAGAGGCAAUCCAGGAGUGUGUGAGAUGGAGCCAGUUACAUGCAUCUCAGCCCAGGGAGGGAGUGAGGAGGGAAUGAAUGCGGCCUAAGUCCCUCACCUGCAAUGUGUAGGAGGUAAAUGAACCUGCUCACCCUCCCUCUCACCCAGCCACAUUCAGGGUCAUUUGCUGUAGCUCAGGUGGCUGCGGCUAGGGUGGGGUUGCCAGGUGGAAUAAUGGUCAUGCACAGCUGCCCCUCCACAGGGGCUGAGCCCAGGGUGGCUUCACUGGAAGAGGGUGUGGGACAAGCUGGGUAUCCUGGCUGACAUCUCUGCUAGCUGUCGGAAAGUUGAGUGAGGGAUGGGGUAGCUGUAUCUGUGUGUGUAUAUGUGAGAGAGUGUGUGUUUGCUGGGUCCUCGUAUGUGUUUGUUUCAGAUGGAUGUGUGUGGGUUUGAGGCCAGGGGAAUGGUGAGUCAGGGCAGCCCUGGGGGCAGGGAGGGGUGGGUGUGAGCAGGGCGAGUGAAGUGGCUGCAGCAGGAACAGGGGAGGCAUGCGGAACAUGGGUGGCAUGAGAGCUGACGCUACGACUGAAUGGAUUUUGAAAGGUCUUUGUCUGCCUCAAUUAAAAGGAUAGAUCCUUUUUUUCUUUAAGGCUGAAUAAAUAAUUUUUUCCCUUUUCUUCUUUGGUUCUUUUCAUAUAACAAUUUGUCAAACUCCGUCAAAAACAAACACAAACAGAAAAACCCAAAAGUCUUCUUGAAUGGGUUCAAGGUGCAGGAGGCACAGCUGAGCUGUGGGGAGCAGCGGUGCAGGAGCGGGGUGCUCGGUGGACUCUGGACCUGCUCUUGGGGCUGCUGGCCCCCUUCUUGCCCGUGUGGCCAGGGCAGCCCUUUGGAAAAGCUGUGCUGUAGCUUCAUCUUUUGUUUUGGCUUUUAUUGGCAUAUUCUUUUGUUCUCUUUAACUGCAUCCAAUCAAAUUGGCACAUCUGAGGUUCGGGAAGAUGGUUUGGAGCCAUUCCAUUACUCUGCCUAUCGAAUUCUGGGAUUUCUGCUUCCUGCCCUGUCCUGUCUUCUGUCCCCAGCUCACCCGGCCCCUACUGAUGUCAUGCUUUAUCAGCUUUCCACUGUGCAUGUAACUCUGCCUGGCAUUUGGUAUUGGGGUGGGUGUGGUGCUUUGAGAGAGGCACAGCAGAACCACUGAGAGAAAGGACGGUGUUUUUCCGUUUAGACCCUCAUUCAUCCCCUCCUUUCUCUAUUUUGCAGGUGCAGAACAUUGAGUUAUGGGGGUCCAGGGUAAACUUGGCUACCUUGGUAAACAUGGCUACAAGCUCCUUUAUAUAACUUUAGGUUUCGGGACACAGCAUGGAAACCACUACUCUAGACGACAGCCAUGUGACAUGCCUGCCCCCACUUUGCCUCCCACCACAAUUGGAAGCUUCCUGAGGCCUUCACCAGAGGCAGAUACUGGCACCAUGCUUCCUAUACAGCCUGCAGAACGGUGAGCCAAUUAAACCUCUUUUCUUACCCAACCUCAAAUAUACGUUUAUAGUAGUGCAAAUGGACUCCUACACCACUGACAGAGAUUUUGUGGCUCAUCUGAUUGCUCUUUUUUACUCUAGGGAAAUCUUUGAACACCUCAGUUUGUCAGUGGCCACAUCUGUACAACGGGCUACUGGAAAUGUGCUCACCUUCAGAAGAUGCUAUUUCAAACCCACGCAUUUGCCCUGAGCCAUCUGCUUUCUAGAUGGCCCAUCUUGUAGCAACUCAUAGAUGACUUUUUCAGAUACUUGGUUGGGGGCGGGGUCAAGACCGUGUUUUGAGAAUAGACUUUUUCCCUGUGGGAAACUGAAAGGCUUGUGGUGUAAUGAUCCCUGGCCUGGGGCCUCCUUUGCACAGUUAAUUAAUUCCAACGACAAAUAUUUACUGUGCAUCGAGCGUAGCAGGCAGUGCCCUGACUGAUUAAGAUGAUCUGAUAUGGUAAUGCAGGGUGGACUUGAGAAAUUAAUGAUUUUAAAAUGUAGUUAGCAACCUAGGGUUCUGGAGGGACAAUGCCAGACUUUCUUCUGGUGUUCAAACCGUCCCAGACUGUGAAGGAACUGGUCCGUGAUGUCUGCCUGGGCUGCUUUGCCUCUGCUCCAUAGCUGAGGGAAGGGGCAGCUCUUGGCUCUCUGCCAGUGUUUGUAAUCCGCACAGCAGGCUCCCAUGUCUUCUGGGUGGGCCUGCAUCUUUUGUUACAUAUUUGUCCCCGAAUCCAGACCACUUCUGAGCUCUCUGGGGAGAAUGUGCCCAAGAGCUGUUCAGUGGGGUGGGCAGGCUGGUGGAAGUCCUCAAGCCUAAUUUGUUCCGCUUCCCUUCAGCCCUUCAGUCCUAAUUCAUUUGUUUGUAUUUGGGGGAAAAAAAAUCUCUCAUUAUUGUCUAUCCUUUAUUUCCUGGAAUUCAACAUGAAAGUUGUCAUUGUUUUAGUUUGUGGCCUCCAAAGAAAUAAACCAUUUGAGCAACAACUGCAACAAUAGCAACAAUUCUUCAUGGCAUGGGCGUCAGACCGGUUGACUUUGGAAUCUAGGUGUCCAUUUUGUUAGAAUUGAAUGUGCACUGGGUUUGGGGUGGGUGUGAGGGAGGCUGUAUUUAUUUUUGAACUUCUUUCGCCCAUAAUGAAAACCAGCUGCCUCUCCAACAAGUGCAUUACUCUUCCCAUAGAAAGCCUCAUGGACAGACUGAAGCUACAGGGGUGGCAAGUCACAUAGAUGGAUGUUUCUAAUUUGAUCUAGUGAGCUUCACCCUCUAUCUCUCGGUCCUCCAGUCCUUGCUCGUGGGUUGAUGGACACCUUGUCUCCUUCCAUACUUGUGGAACCUAGGGGUACUUUUAGUUAGUGGAGGAGAAAUGUGUCUCUUCUCCCCACUGAUUCGCCAGGGUGGACAUGGAGGGGACCUCCCCACCCUGGGAAAGGUGGCCCCAUUCAGCUUGAGUCUGGAGUGAGACCAAACUUUCCUGCCUGCUGCAUACAACUUCAACUCCAAGUCCAAGCUGGGCCCGUUAUUUUGGCUGCUUGGAGAACAUUCCUUCCCAUGUGCUGAUGCAUCAGGGUAUCUCCAGCUUCCUUU